UACGGGGGGGGCAAGCGUUGUUCGGAAUUACUGGGCGUAAAGGGCUCGUAGGCGGCCAACUAAGUCACACGUGAAAUCCCUCGGCUCAACCGGGGAACUGCGUGUGAGACUGGAUGGCUUGAGUUUGGGAGAGGAAUGCGGAAUUCCAGGUGUAGCGGUGAAAUGCGUAGAUAUCUGGAGGAACACCGGUGGCGAAGGCGGCCCCCUGGCCCGCAACUGACGCUCAUGGUCGAAAGCGUGGGGAGCAAACAGG
rnacentral:rRNA from 1 species